rnacentral:snoRNA from 1 species
UAUCUUUAUGAUGAAUCAAUUAGUUAUCCCUGUCUUAUAAAACUAUGACGAAACUAGUAUUUUAGCUGAAAAAAUC